UACCAGUACCCCGAGUGGUCGGGACGAUUAUUGGGCCUAAAGCAUCCGUAGCCGGUUUUACAAGUCCUCCGUUAAAUCCAGCUGCUUAACAGAUGGGCUGCGGAGGAUACUAUAAGACUAGGAGGCAGGAGAGGCAAGCGGUACUCAGUGGGUAGGGGUAAAAUCCGUUGAUCCAUUGAAGACCACCAGUGGCGAAGGCGGCUUGCCAGAAUGCGCUCGACGGUGAGGGAUGAAAGCUGGGGGAGCAAACCGG
rnacentral:rRNA from 1 species